GAUAAGAAUAGGAAAUAUAUUUCCCCAACUUCUGUUGUAUGAUCAAAGAGGCAUGGAGUCCGUGGACUAUCUUCUCAUCCGCUGUGGGGUGGCUAGGAUGGUAUGGUUUUUAUUAUGAGAUUGAUUGUCUUUCCUUGGGUUUGCUGAAAUACUGUUUUAGACUUCCUCAAAUACUCUGUGAAAUAUUGGAUCACAUUUGCCUUGUACAUGUUGGUAUGCAAAUAAAAUAAAUUAGGUGAAGAUAAAGAACUGAUAUGUAGAUUAAGAAGAGUUAUUUUUAUUUUUUUUAAAAUUUUUAUUUAUUAUUCUUUUACAUGGUUGGGUCAUGGAGAGCUUUUUCGAUUUUGUGAUAAGAAGGAUACAUUGGUAUGGAUUUUCAUUAUUUUUAUUUUCUAUAUGUUGUGUAUACUUGGGACAACAUCUCCUUUUGGUGCCUUCAAUAAUGAAAUGGCUUGUAAAAUAAAGAAAAAAUGUUCCUGUCAGAUCAUAGGUCUAUAUCCAACCAGGCCUGACUUGCAACCUUAAUUUUUAAUUGAGGACUUUAUUGUAAUAGUGAGUUUAAUUCUCUUGGUUGCAUUUUGUUUAAUGGAUCAUGUAUAAUAUUUAGGUGAACUUGUAUUGGUAUACUAAGUUUUUGCCAAGAAAUUGAUUGUUUUUCUUGUUAGGAUAUUGGGGUAUGUAUCUCAUUGGUGUCCAAUUGGGCAGCUAUCUGUUUUUUGGUAACUCUGAUCUGAGCAAGUGUUGAGAUCCAAUAAAUGAGCAAUUAGAGUCUGGAUUCUAUCUCUUUUGUUUUGGUUAUUAACAAUGCUUCUGGACAGGCAUGUGGAAAGCGUUUCACGCAGAAUGGUCUUAGCAAUCCUAAUGCUGUCUGAUUACAUCCCAGGACAUAAGAUUACUGUACUGGAACAAGCAUUCAACCGAAAUUUAUUGGGAUCAU